rnacentral:ncRNA from 1 species
AUGUUAUAGAAAGGAGAGAACUUUGGCAAUCCCCUUGAGAAGGACGGAACGGACUUUUUAGUCCACUCUUACAGUUGUUUUAUUAUGACUGAAGGCACUCUGUUUUCUAUGAAAACAUCUCGGCAUAUUGCCACCUUUUUUU